rnacentral:rRNA from 1 species
AUUGAACGCUGGCGGCAGGCCUAACACAUGCAAGUCGAACGAGUGGCGGACGGGUGAGUAAUGUCUGGGAAACUGCCUGAUGGAGGGGGAUAACUACUGGAAACGGUCGCUUAUACCGCAUACCCUCGGUUUUGCCCAGAUGGGAUUAGCUAGUAGGUGGGGUAACGGCUCACCUAGGCGACGAUCCCUCGCUGGUCUGAGAGUAUGACCAGCCACACUGGAAUUGGGACACGGCCCAGACUCCUACGGGAGGCAGCAGUGGGGAAUAUUGCACAAUGGGCGCAAGCCUGAGGCAGCCAUGCCGCGUGUAGGAAGAAGGCCUUCGGGUUGUAAAGUACGUUCAGCGGGGAGGCGUUACCCGCAGAAGAAGCACCGGCUAACUCCGUGCCAGCAGCCGCGGUAAUAC